GACGAACGCUGGCGGCGUGCUUAAUACAUGCAAGUCGAACGGAAAGGCUCUGCUUUUGCGGGGUGCUCGAGUGGCGAACGGUUGAGUAACACGUGAGUAACCUGCCCUUGACUUCGGGAUAACUUCAGGAAACUGUGGCUAACACCGGAUAGGAGCUCCUGCUGCAUGGUGGGGGUUGGAAAGUUGCGGCGGUUGGGGAUGGACUCGCGGCUUAUCAGCUUGUUGGUGAGGUAGUGGCUUACCAAGGCUUUGACGGGUAGCCGGCCUGAGAGGGUGACCGGCCACAUUGGGACUGAGAUACGGCCCAGACUGCUACGGGAGGCAGCAGUGGGGAAUAUUGCACGAUGGGCGGAAGCCUGAUGCAGCAACGCCGCGUGCGGGAUGACGGCCUUCGGGUUAUAAACCGCUUUCGCCUGUGACGAAGCGUGAGUGACGGUAAUGGGUAAAAAAGCACCGGCUAACUACGUG
rnacentral:rRNA from 1 species